AUCCGGCCACUUCCGGUCCGGGAUAUUUAAAUAGCAGUCCCGUUGCUGUCAUUUGGCAUGCAGCUCAGGGACGCGUUACUCUCCUCCCAACUACACACGCCGUGCAUACCGUGACCCUGCAGCUGCAUCAUGAUAGCAGGAUCUGUUUGAUCAGAUGUAUGUCCCUCUACAUCUAUGAUUUUUAAAGACUGUGUCCGGAUAUGCUAUUCCUUUUUUCGCUAGGAAUUUGUUGAUGACUAUGAUCUGACCUUAGACACAUGACAAUAAUUUGAUGCAAGAUGUUAAUUUAAAAGCUAAUAGUCUUGAGAAAGGCCCGUCACACGGACCGAAACGUCGACAUAUAUGGCUUUUGGAUUUUCUCAAUAAAAGUCUUUUAUA